rnacentral:rRNA from 1 species
GAUCAUUACCGAGUGAGGGCCCUCUGGGUCCAACCUCCCACCCGUGUUUAUUUUACCUUGUUGCUUCGGCGGGCCCGCCUUAACUGGCCGCCGGGGGGCUCACGCCCCCGGGCCCGCGCCCGCCGAAGACACCCUCGAACUCUGUCUGAAGAUUGAAGUCUGAGUGAAAAUAUAAAUUAUUUAAAACUUUCAACAACGGAUCUCUUGGUUCCGGCAUCGAUGAAGAACGCAGCGAAAUGCGAUACGUAAUGUGAAUUGCAAUUCAGUGAAUCAUCGAGUCUUUGAACGCACAUUGCGCCCCCUGGUAUUCCGGGGGGCAUGCCUGUCCGAGCGUCAUUGCUGCCCUCAAGCACGGCUUGUGUGUUGGGCCCCGUCCUCCGAUCCCGGGGGACGGGCCCGAAAGGCAGCGGCGGCACCGCGUCCGGUCCUCGAGCGUAUGGGGCUUUGUCACCCGCUCUGUAGGCCCGGCCGGCGCUUGCCGAUCAACCCAAAUUUUUAUCCAGGUUGACCUCGGAUCAGGUAGGGAUACCCGCUGAACUUAAGCAUAUCAAUAAGCGGAGGAAAAGAAACCAACAGGGAUUGCCCCAGUAACGGCGAGUGAAGCGGCAAGAGCUCAAAUUUGAAAGCUGGCUCCUUCGGGGUCCGCAUUGUAAUUUGUAGAGGAUGCUUCGGGAGCGGUCCCCAUCUAAGUGCCCUGGAACGGGACGUCAUAGAGGGUGAGAAUCCCGUAUGGGAUGGGGUGUCCGCGCCCGUGUGAAGCUCCUUCGACGAGUCGAGUUGUUUGGGAAUGCAGCUCUAAAUGGGUGGUAAAUUUCAUCUAAAGCUAAAUAUUGGCCGGAGACCGAUAGCGCACAAGUAGAGUGAUCGAAAGAUGAAAAGCACUUUGAAAAGAGAGUUAAAAAGCACGUGAAAUUGUUGAAAGGGAAGCGCUUGCGACCAGACUCGCUCGCGGGGUUCAGCCGGCAUUCGUGCCGGUGUACUUCCCCGCGGGCGGGCCAGCGUCGGUUUGGGCGGUCGGUCAAAGGCCCUCGGAAGGUAACGCCCCUAGGGGCGUCUUAUAGCCGAGGGUGCAAUGCGACCUGCCUAGACCGAGGAACGCGCUUCGGCUCGGACGCUGGCAUAAUGGUCGUAAACGACCCGUCUUGAAACACGGACC